rnacentral:rRNA from 1 species
CCUACGGGAGGCAGCAGUAGGGAAUCUUGCUCAAUGGGCGAAAGCCUGAAGCAGCGACGCCGCGUGCGGGAUGAAGGCCCUCGGGUCGUAAACCGCUUUCAGCAGGAACGAAAUUGACGGUACCUGCAGAAGAAGCACCGGCCAACUACGUGCCAGCAGCCGCGGUAAUACGUAGGGUGCAAGCGUUGUCCGGAUUCAUUGGGCGUAAAGAGCUCGUAGGCGGUUCAGUAAGUCGGGUGUGAAAUCUCCGUGCUCAACACGGAGCGGCCACCUGAUACUGCUGUGACUAGAGUCCGGUAGGGGAGUGUGGAAUUCCUGGUGUAGCGGUGAAAUGCGCAGAUAUCAGGAGGAACACCAGUGGCGAAGGCGGCACUCUGGGCCGUGACUGACGCUGAGGAGCGAAAGCGUGGGUAGCAAACAGGAUUAGAUACCCUGGUAGUCCACGCCGUAAACGUUGGGCACUAGGUGUGGGUCUCUAUCGACGGGAUCCGUGCCGUAGCUAACGCAUUAAGUGCCCCGCCUGGGGAGUACGGCCGCAAGGCUAAAACUCAAAGAUAGUGACGNGNGAGAGCGACGACGACGACGACGGAGGAGG